rnacentral:rRNA from 1 species
AUGCCCUCCGUCAAACCACGAGAGUGGGACGCCAUGUCCGCCAAGGAGCAGUUGUUGUGGUAUCUCGAGAGGUUAUGCGCUCAGGCGGACGAGAUGUGCUCAGCGUUGGGUAUUGCACGAGUGGGUGACCCUCCCGUGGUCACCUCGCUUGUCGAUCUGGCGGCCUCAACCACGACGGAUGCCUCACCUGCGCCCGUCCCCGACGUCCCCUCCUCCACAACCAAGUCCACGGAGGUCCUCGAGGUCAUCUGUGAUGCGUCCACUGCCUGCAUUGUCAGGGCGCCCAUCAACUGUUCGGUGGAUGGCUCGACCCAAGUCUCUACUGUCGUCAGCCUCAACGAGAUCCAGGACGCCACCACCACCGUCCACCCCAAGCCCAUGGUCGAUCUCAUCCACCAGGAGGUCGCCGCCGAGAUCGUCACCCUGGUGCCAACCACCACCAACGUCAGCCCCAAGACCAGCGUGCAGGAGCGGGACGACUCGCCACUACCCUCCAUCCACACCUCCAACCAAAUAGCGAGCGAGGCGGACCACAGUGCGGUCCUCAUCGUUCCCAGCAACUUGGUUGCACCAGAGCCAGCUAAGUGCUCGGCAGAAUGCCCCGUCCAUGUCGAACAACAACCAUGGCCAUCACCGGUACAAGUGAAGAUCAGGCACAGGGGACACGUAUUCAGGCCAAGACCAUGGCCAUCGUUCAAGUAUCAUUCAGGUGCAGGCUGUUGCGAGGAGGCAUGUUCAGAGCGUUUAGGCAAGACAGUGGUGAUGACAAAAUCGGGCAAUGGAAGCUACAAUGUGCAGCCAAUUGUACUCACAGAGCAUUAG